GAAGGAGGUGCGCGCGCGGGAGAGACAGGUUGGGAGCUUCCCGCGCGGAGCUGAGGAUACGCAAGCGUCGGGCUCUAUCUAGUCCCUGGAGGAUUCCACUAGAGGAAAUGACCGGUACCAUCUCCUGAGAAGAAUACAAGGAGUACUACGGAGAGAGGUGAAUUUUAACCAUUGCAAAUAGCAUUUAUAAAUCAAUCUGCAUUUUCUAUAAGGCAUUUAAGACGGCCGCGUCUGGACAGGAAAAAGAAAUGGAUCCGGAUUUAUUGAAAAACUGACCGAAGUGUGUGAAACAACUGUUUUCAGACAUUGGACAAUAGACAGUUCCAGGCAUUUGUACCUGAGAGAAAAGAAACUAACGGGGUGGGCCCUGUAUCUCCCUGGCUUUCUGCCUAGAGGCAGUGUCCAGCUUGCAGGUACCAGGGAAGCUCAAACACAGCCGAGGGUCUCGCCGGGAAGCCGGAGGGCUUGUUGAGUUGAGAAGACAGAAACUGGAUUUAGGGCACAUGGGGAGGCCAAGUUGGUUGGAAUUUAUGAGGCGGAGUUCUUAAAGAGCUUCAGGAAUCUGUUUACGAGUACCCCUGCAUCUGUGGCUGAAUAAAAGUCAGUGAAUAUGUCCUGUGAAACUGCACAAGGCCAGGAAAAAACAAUUAUUGGGGAGCAGUAAGCCAGAUAAUUCUCAGAGCUCACACAGGACUAGGAAUCCUUUGCGUUCCCUGCAGCCAGAGUGGAGAGACUGCUGAAUACAGUUGGUGAGGGGAAUAUGCUGUAGAGACCCCAGAAGUGCCAUGCCUUAGUAUUGAGGUAAACUAACCCUAGACUCUGGGUCUAAAGGAAAAGCUACGCAGACCCUUAAAAAGCUUCAAGACAAGCCCUGAUAGGCUCAAACUGCUCAAUAAAGUAACCUAAUUGCCUGCCAAAACAAAGUCUAAUACUCUCUAAAAAACUAGGACAAAAUCCAGGACUUAAUAACAUUAAAUUUAAAAUAUCAGGCAUCCAGUCAAAAAUUAAUAGACAUGCCAAAUAAAAAGGGAAAUAUAUCAUAGUCAAUAGAAACAUUUCCAGAAAUGACAAAAUGAUGGCAAAAAACAGAGAAGGACUUUAAAUGCCUAUCAUAGAUUCACUCAAUAUGCUCAAGGAUUUAACAUAAAAUAUGACAGGAGAGAAACUGAAGAGAUUUUUUUAAAAAGAAGCAGCAGCAAAUAGAAUUUCUGGAGAUUUAAAAUAUAUCUGAAAAUUUUAAAUCUGUGUAUGGACUGGAUAGCAAUUUAGGCACUGCAGGGAAAAAAAGCAAUAAAGUUGAAGACAUAGCAACAGAAACAAUCCAAAAUGACACACACAGAAAGUAGACUGAAAAACAAAACAAAAAUAGAGCUUCAGUGACCUAUGGAACAAUAUAAAGAGGCCUAAUAUAUAUGGCCUCAUAAAGCGGAUGAGGGUGAAGAAAAAAUAUUUGAAGAAGUAAUGGACAAAAAUAUUCCAAGUUUAAUAUUUGAUAUUGGAUCUAAGAAGAUCAAAGAAGCCCAAGUAAGGUAAAUAUAAAGAAAACUGCACCAGGCCAUAUCAUAAUCACAUUGGUGAAAAAUAGAGAUAAAGAAAAAAUCUUAAAAGCAGCUGGUGAAGAAAGGCAUAUUAUAUACAGAGAAACAAUAAUAAGAGUUUUUAUAGACUUUUAAUUAGAAACUAUGCAAGCCGAAAGAAAAUGAAAUGACAGCUUUAAAGUGCAAAAACAAAACAAAACUCUCAACUUGGCAUUCUAUACUCAGCAGGGUGAAACAGACUUUUUCAAACAAACAAGUCCAGAAAAGCCGCAUCCUGAAGCAGAGCCAUCCUAGCUGACUUGCAGACUUGUGAAGAAGAAAAAUAAAUGCCUCUUGUAAGCCACUGGGGUGGUUUGUUAUUCUGCAUUAUUAUAAAAAUAAUUUAACAAGUAUAGUAUCACUUCAAGUCACAUGGCAAUUGGUGAGAACAUAUAGUUCUCUAAUAGCAAAAGGGACAUAAUUAGAAAUCUACCACAGAUGUUUUACUUUGAAAUCAUCUUCUUUCUAAGUGGACUGUAUUUUUUCUCUCAUAACUACAGACUUACAUGUUUAUAAAAUAAGGUUUAUAGGCUCAGAAAUUAUAAAGAUUUCUAAGGUACAGCUCUGAUCAUCUCUUUCUGCCAGGAUUUAAUCAUUUCUUCUUCAGAUAAUGACUCUGAGUCCUGACACAAAAAUGCAGGGAAAUUAACAGGAAUUGCUAAUCUCAUCUCUCUCUCUCAAAGAAGAAAAAAUGACCCAGUAAACACUGUCAGGAUCCACAUUAAGUGAACAUUAAUAAGGACUAGCUACAAAUUGUUCUGUUAGAACUUUCUGAUUUGUGUCUCAACUGUUAAGUAAAGAAGAUUUACUAUAAAGACUUGAUUUAUUAUCUAUACUUCAAAUGAUGGGCUUAUACUUAGUAUUGUUGCCAGUAUCUAUGGGAAUGCUAAGAUGCAAUAAUCAUUCGUUCAUUCAACAAAUAUUUAUUGAGUGCUUUCUAUGUGCCAGAAAUGAACAUUGAAAAAAAUGACAAAAUCUUUUGCCCUAGUGAAAUUUACAUUCAAGAAGUGCGAUACAGACAACAAACAAAGGAAAUAAGUAAACUGUUCACAGUGUGGAGAAAAAUUACACAGAGAAAUCUCCUCAGACAUACCUCAGAAAUGUUUUGGGUUGGGUUCCAGACCACCACAAUAAAGUGAACAUCACAAUAAAAAUUCACAGGAGCUAAAUGAACUCAAGACUCUCUGAUUGCCACUGUCUUUCCAGUUGCAUGCUUGGGACUUUGCUGCCAUCCAGGGAAAGAAUGUUCAGGAAACUUUCCCUAAAAGCUUCACUUCCUCGUUUUCCUACCACUGUUUCUGUUUCUUGGGAUAACCUCCCAAAUAAACGGCUUACAUUCAAGUCCUUGAUUCAAGAUCUGCUUUUGGACAGACCCCAAAUAAAACACCGUAUUUCUUCUGGUAAGUAGCUGUUUCUUUGGGAUGCCAGAGAUGUGGACCUACCAGCCCUCUCAUUGGCUGAAUUCAGGCAAAAAGCAGGAAACCUGGGGGCCUCUAAGAGGAUGGAGCAGCACAGGGGAGGUUGAGGAGAUGUUCCUGGCGGAAAUGGGGUGCAGUAAAUAGAAUAUAUUCAGCACAGCACUGAAGAGGCAGACAGGCUAGCCUACCAUGCUUCUUUGAGAGGAUUGUGUGGGGUCCUAGGAUUUAUUAAGCCUAUGUGUAUUUCCCGAUUUUCCUGUAAUUGAUACAUUUUACUUUUGCAAUAGGGAUAAAAAUUAA